AUUGAACGCUGGCGGCAGGCCUAACACAUGCAAGUCGAACGAGUGGCGGACGGGUGAGUAAUGUCUGGGAAACUGCCCGAUGGAGGGGGAUAACUACUGGAAACGGUAGCUAAUACCGCAUACCAUCGGAUGUGCCCAGAUGGGAUUAGCUAGUAGGUGGGGUAACGGCUCACCUAGACGAAGAUCCAUAGCUGGUCUGAGAGGGCGACCGGCCACACUGGAACUGAGACACGGCCCAGACUCCUACGGGAGGCAGCAGUGGGGAAUAUUGGACAAUGGGCGAAAGUCUGAUGCAGCCAUGCCGCGUGUAUGAAGAAGGCCUUCGGGUUGUAAAGUACUUUCGUCGAGGAGGCGUUACUCGCAGAAGAAGCACCGGCUAACUACGUGCCAGCAGCCGCGGUAAUUC
rnacentral:rRNA from 1 species